CAAUCUUAUUUGUAGACACAGAUGAAUCAAAUCAUUUCACUGUCACUGGUUGGGACCUAGAACAAGAGUCUAUUGGGAAUGUCAAUGUUUUCAGUCACUUGCUUGUAAUAACUUAAGUGUCAUUAUCACCAUAGCUAUUACCUUUGAUGUUUUUACAUCCCUUCUUAUCCCUGACCAAGAUCAGUAUCAGUUGUGGAUGUCAAUAGCCACCUUUCCAUGUAGGAACUUAUGGAAAAAUAUCCCUUGAGGGACUUUUCACACCAAAUGUAUCCAAAUAAAUGAUGUCUUCCUUAUGACUGCUUUCACAUCAAUUGUGAAACUGUGCUGCAAAACUGUAGGUAUUUCAUACUUGUUGUGUGGACGUCUACGCAUAACAUGAAUAUGAAGAGUAUCGUGGUUGGGACAAUAACUAGUGGUAGGGACAAGUUCAAUACAGCUUUAAACAAAUGUAGAUGAAUGACCUUGCACUGUCUGCAAUUGACAUUUUAGAAUGUUUACAGCGAACAAGUCACAGAUCCUCCUUCAAUUUACAUUCCUCAUUUACCUUGAUGCAUGCUAUUUGAAUCGGGGUGGACAACAGCUCUUUUCAGAGUGAAAUCCAUUUUGUGAUCCCCAAAAAUGUAUUAGUAGUGACUUUUUUGUUGUGAGUUUCACUUGGUAUUUUUGUUUUUUUAAACUUUCCUGUCGGUUUGAAUAGUCAUGAAACAUUAUGAUAAUCUUUGGCUCUGCUCCUUAUGUUUAUUCACAGAUCCUCUGCUUGAUACAAUUACGGGAUGUGAAGUCUGAUUCUGUCCUCAACUUGUGGACCUGCUCUGAGGAUGUUGGACACCACUGUUGCACCUUCAGCCAUUUAUCUUUUUCCUGUCAGUCGAUGGGCUGACUGACCUCAAGGCGCAGAAUGUGUUUUGUUUGUCGUCGGCAUAUUAUUCAGAGAACUGUCUGUUGUGAAUGACAAAGAUAUCCAGUCAUUUUUUAAAUUAUUUAUAAAGUAUGACCUGUACUAUGACAAUAGUAGUUUAGCACUACUCGAGAAAUGAUUAAUGACAUAUUCUGUGGCGGCAAUCAGCCUAGAGGUUUGAGAUGUGGAUCAGUUACUGAUGCGUUGCUAGUGUCAUUUCCUAGCUGACCUCUAUGUACUAAGUGUUGUGCCUUUUAGCUGGGCACAUAUUCCCAAAAAUGUUCCAUGGGUGGUGUGCUGCGGCUGACCUGGUGCCUCUGCACUUGUGUUUUGGGGGGUUGGGAAAGGCUAAAGACAAAGUUCAAUUUCUGGAAAAAAGGACAAAGCAUUAUCCUGUUGUAUUUUAGGUAUAGGAGGAGGUCUGAUCAUCUAGUCUGGUGCAGUGGGGUGUUCCAGGUCCGCAACACUUGAGGAGAAAAUGUCUUAAUCAUGAUGACAAGGUAAGGGAUGAGGGCCUUGUCGGGCAUAUGAAGUAAAUCCUUCCCGUCCGACUCGUUGAAGAAAAAGUAUUCCUCCAGUACGGGGUCAUCUGCUUGCCAUACUAGAGGGACAUAGUCUGUUUCAGUCCUCAACUUGCGGACCUGCCCUGAGGAUGUUAUACACCACUGUUGCGCCUUCAGCCAUGUUGAUUUCCGACUGGUAGUCUUUGGACUACAUGCCAUGGGCUGACUGACCUGAACCUUUACCAGAACAGAAAUACAAUGUUCAUCAGACUUUCCUCACAUUGGACUACUCUCUGAUUAGUUAUGAGGUCACAGGAAAUAGACUCAUUACUCAUAAAUUAUUGAAGCUCACUUGACUGCAUCUGACAGUGGAUAGCAGAGCUCUCUGGUGUUUAACCAUUUGAAAUUAAACAACAAAAAUGUAAAUUACCAUUUUUUUUACACACUUCCAACAUAUCGCAGCAGUAAGAGUAGUAUUCUAACCGACUCGUAUAAACAACAUCCUUGAGUGUUUCAUUGAUAAAUGUAGCUUUGUAAGAUUGUAUUUCUUUUUUACUUAAAAAACCUGUAGACAUGCAUGAUCCUGUAAAUAUUUUCAUGGAACAUAAAUCUCACUACUUGGCAUUUUUAUAUGGUGAUUGUGAAAGAGAUAUUUGUAAUGUACUUUUGUGUGUUCAUUGAAAUCAAAUUUGUUUACAUUGGACUAGUCCAUAAGAUUUUAGUUAGGAUUUUUUUGUCUUCACUUUUUUGUGCAAUCAUCUCCACGUAAUACAGCCAGCUUUUCCAUUCUUGGCUAUCUGCCUCUGCAGCCUUUGUCUAAACUUUCAUUUUUUUGUAUUACUUUGUUAUUUUUAUUGCUACUGUCUUCACAUGGAGAUGUUAGUUAUGGGUUGAUGAUUCCAAUUUGGCAACAGGUGGUUGGAUAGUUGGGAUUAAAUAAGUAUUGUUUCGGUAAUACAAUAUGUAAAUAUUGGUCCCACAUUAAACCAAGUACAAUCACUACCAAGCACUACAUUCAGAAAUAAUUUGUAGAGUACGGCAUAUGGUUCUAGACUAUUUGUGAAGUAUUUAUGUAGUGUUUAUGAAGCCUUUAUGAAUGCUAUUAAAAUUAUAAAUACUAGUAUUAUUAA